rnacentral:rRNA from 1 species
GAUGAACGCUGGCUACAGGCUUAACACAUGCAAGUCGAGGGGAAACGACGGGGAAGCUUGCUUCCCCGGGCGUCGACCGCCGCACGGGUGAGUAACGCGUAUCCAACCUGCCUCUGACUGAGGGAUAACCCGUCGAAAGUCGGCCUAAUACCUCAUGGCAUCGUCUGCGGGCAUCCAACGACGAUUAAAGAUUUCAUCGGUCAGGGAUGGGGAUGCGUCUGAUUAGCUUGUUGGCGGGGUAACGGCCCACCAAGGCUACGAUCAGUAGGGGUUCUGAGAGGAAGGUCCCCCACAUUGGAACUGAGACACGGUCCAAACUCCUACGGGAGGCAGCAGUGAGGAAUAUUGGUCAAUGGGCGGGAGCCUGAACCAGCCAAGUAGCGUGCAGGAUGACGGCCCUAGGGGUUGUAAACUGCUUUUAUGCGGGGAGAAAGUGAGGGACGUGUCCUUCAUUGCAGGUACCGCAUGAAUAAGGACCGGCUAAUUCCGUG